GAGAACCUGGAUGAAGAUGGAUGGAGAGCUAGGUUAGUGAAAGGUCUCACUCACUCAUCUUUUACUGCUUUAUCCUCCACAUGAGGGUCACAGGGGGCGCUGGUGCCAAUUCCAGCUGACAUUUAUCCGCAAAACCUUUCGACAACAAAUUGCCUGUCGGUACGACAAACACUCAGACAAGUUCACUCAUUUACGAUCGACUUUUUUGUUCGUCUUGGGCUAUAACCUCUUCCCACCGAGUUUCGGUGAACAGUGGGUCCAGGUCCAGUCGAGGGCAGCACAGAUCCCACUGGGUCUGAACAACACCAGGUGCCACUGCUGUCCUGUACCUAAUAAAGUGGCCAGUAAUUGUAUAUUUUCUGUAUCCAUUCUCUACAGUGACCAGGAGCAGGAGAACCGCUGAAUACGGACACAUGUUGACGGAUGACGUGUGCUGAUGUCAACAACAACAAAGCCCUGUGUUUGGUGUACAGUAUGUCUUCAAACGGGGUCAGAGCUCUGAAGAGCUAAGUGUCUCCUAAAGCCUGAAGACUGCUGGUACGCGAGGUCACACGUCUAUGACGUCAAACACACACACACACACACAAGCACGCACCGAAGACGACAUCCGCCCACACCUUCAUUUAUUCUUUUGUCUCCCUUCCUUUUCUUGCUUUUUCCACAGAAUUAUCUGCAGCGAGCAGGCACAGAGAAAGAGGAUCUUUGUGCAUUUGAUGGACUCAUUCAGAGCAAUUUAAACACAGUGAGUGAGGAAUUAGCAUAAUUGUCAGGAGGGACAAAAAAAAAUGACAAACACAGCAGGGACAGCGAUCAGGAGGAAAAUAUGAACAACAUCCAUUUACAUUUACACGUCACAUUUCACCAUGUUAUAUCAAAAACAAUAAAAGUUACAAAGAAGAAGAAUCACUUCACGUCAUAACAACAUAACGCUUCUCCUCGUAGCCCUCGUUGCAUGAAAAUAUAACGAGCUUUUAAAUAUUUAAUGUUGGCAUGGAAACGCCAUUCCCAUGUCCGUGGAUCAAAGAUAGAGCUGAGUGAUGACACCAGGACCAGAACCCACUGCCCCGCCCCCCCCCCGCUCUCAGGAUAUAUCAGGAUAUCCUGUUCCCUCUCAACACAUCCUUUCAUACCGCAGAGGGGAAGAGGACGUGGAGGAGGAGGGGACGCUGUAAGCAACCUGCAGACCCACACAGAAUAAAAAGAGUGAUUCAAACGUUGACUCUCAGCAGAACCACGGUACGUCAUGACUGUGCCGCAGGAAUCUGAAGUUCUCCAGGUGGAAAACAUUUCUCUCUGUCUUGCUCUUGUUGUCGGGGGACCUCAUUAAAAGUCACACGUCCACAUUCCCGCGUCAACACUUCCUGCCUUCAGGUCAGAAGUCAAAGGUCAGAGGAGAAGAACCUUACCGGCUGAUUCUCCAGUGUUGAUCCAGUCCGGGUUGACGAUGCUGGCGAUGGCGAAGAUGUCCGCGGCGAGAAAGAGGCAUCCUGAAAUCACG